GAUGAAGAACGCAGCGAAAUGCGAUAAGUAAUGUGAAUUGCAGAAUUCAGUGAAUCAUCGAAUCUUUGAACGCACAUUGCGCCCCCUGGUAUUCCGGGGGGCAUGCCUGUCCGAGCGUCAUUACAACCCUCAAGCUCAGCUUGGUGUUGGGCCCCGCCGCCCCGGCGGGCCCUAAAGUCAUUGGCGGUGCCGUCCGGCUCCGAGCGUAGUAAUUCUUCUCGCUCUGGAGGUCCGGUCGUGUGCUCGCCAGCAACCCCCAAUUUUUUUCAGGUUGACCUCGGAUCAGGUAGGGAUACCCGCUGAACUUAAGCAUAUCAAUAAGCGGAGGA
rnacentral:misc_RNA from 1 species